UUACACUCAUGGCUUGAUAAGACAUUUUGGAUCAUCUGUUUGUUGUUUAGAAUCAUAGAAUCAUAGAAUCACCAAAGUUGGAAACUCCAAGAUCAUCGUGUCUAACAGUCCACCUACCACCAAUAUUUCCCCACUAAACCAUAUCCCUUAGGACAACAUCUUGAACACCUGCAGAGACGGUGACUCAACCACCUCCCUGAGUAGCCUGUUCCAUCACCUAAGAUUGCCCUCCUCCUCUUCAAUUUAGGUACAGCUAUCUGAAAGCAUCUUCCUUGUGGUCCUUCUGACACCCACUCAAGCUACAAGAUGUUCUUUACCCUAUUCCAGAAGCCCUGUCCUGGAUGGAAGCAAAGCUACCUGCUGUCAGUGUUGGUAAUUCACAACAACUCUGGAAACCUUAGAAGAAGAGGUAACAUGGGCAUCUCUGCAUCAUACCUCCAAUGUUUAUCAGCCCUUUCUGAAUUGCACUGCUGCUCUCUUGAAGGCUUGACAGAAGCUACAUACUGUGUGCCUGAGGAAGGCUUGAACAUCACACCAAAACAAGAACAAUUUCCACUUUCUCACUGCCUGUCUUACAGCAAAGAAGGGAGAUCAAGACCAGUAACCAUACAGGACAAAAUCUGACUGUAAGAAUCUGUUG
ensembl:lncRNA